GAUGAACGCUGGCGGCGUGCCUAAUACAUGCAAGUCGAGCGAACAGACGAGGAGCUUGCUCCUCUGACGUUAGCGGCGGACGGGUGAGUAACACGUGGAUAACCUACCUAUAAGACUGGGAUAACUUCGGGAAACCGGAGCUAAUACCGGAUAAUAUAUUGAACCGCAUGGUUCAAUAGUGAAAGACGGUUUUGCUGUCACUUAUAGAUGGAUCCGCGCCGCAUUAGCUAGUUGGUAAGGUAACGGCUUACCAAGGCAACGAUGCGUAGCCGACCUGAGAGGGUGAUCGGCCACACUGGAACUGAGACACGGUCCAGACUCCUACGGGAGGCAGCAGUAGGGAAUCUUCCGCAAUGGGCGAAGCCUGACGGAGCAACGCCGCGUGAGUGAUGAAGGUCUUCGGAUCGUAAAACUCUGUUAUUAGGGAAGAACAAAUGUGUAAGUAACUAGGCACGUCUUGACGGUACCUAAUCAGAAAGCCACGGCUAACUACGUGC
rnacentral:rRNA from 1 species